UCUCCCACUUUCAAUGUUUACAUAUCUUUCGAAUAAUUCCGAGGUCGAUUGUACGGUCCCUGACCGCAAUCUCGUAUUCGCGAAUACGCGCAUCAUGAGUUUCAGACAGAAUCAUGUGUUUCCUUUUUUCCGAUAAAAUUCCUAGUCAUGUUUUGUCUCGUCUUUGACAAAGUUAUCGGAAUUAUUUCAAAUAACGUAAAUAGUGUAAAUCAUCUUAUCGGUUAUUUGUGUGACAUUAUUAAAAUAGUUAUUUAUAAGACUUAUGGAAAAGCUGGUAUCAUUUAAUGUAUCUUCAUCCGUCAUAAGUUUCCACAUCUGGCACUCGGAAAUAUUGAAAUAUUCUAGUAGAUCUCUCAUCGUAAUUGAUCACGUCCGUUCACAGACCUCGUUGUUAGAGAUGCAACUAUGCGCACGCAAGGUCGGAUACACACAAGUCGAUGAGAUGCAUGAGAUAGAUUAUUCAUGAGAUAAAUUUUGAUUAGAGAUAUGAUCGCGUCACAAGAGUGAAAAAAAGUGUUUUUAUUCACCAUUCCUGAUACUAUUAGCAAUCACGUUGAUACUGGAAUUAAGUGCAGUUUACGAAAUCUUUCGAGGAAACAGAUUUCAAUCGUGCAUGACGUAUAAAUAAUCCUUUUCACAAUCUUGUAUCAUAUUUUCGUUUCCAAUAUCCUUGCCAUUUAUAAUUUUUGCUUCAUUGUUUUAAUUAAUGCUUGAUGAAAUCGCAAUAAAAUGUAUCACAGACUAUCACGAGAAUAGAUAGGAAAAUCUCAAGGAUUUGACGCUAUAUUUUUAUAUUGCAUGCGGUGUCGCUGGCGGUGUGCUUAUCUUACUUUUUAUUUUGGUGAUCGUCCUGUUCGUGAAAGUAAAUCGAUUAGCUAGGGAUGGGU